UACGUAGGGGGCAAGCGUUGUCCGGAUUUACUGGGCGUAAAGAGCGCGUAGGCGGAAAUUUAAGCGUGGCCUGAAAGCCCCCGGCUCAACCGGGGAGUGCGGCUGCGAACUGGAUUUCUUGAGGACGAUAGAGGAGAGUGGAAUUCCUGGUGUAGCGGUGAAAUGCGCAGAUAUCAGGAAGAACACCCGUGGCGAAGGCGGCUCUCUGGGACGGUACUGACGCUGAGACGCGAAAGCGUGGGGAGCGAACAGG
rnacentral:rRNA from 1 species